CGGACGGGUGAGUAAUGUCUGGGAAACUGCCUGAUGGAGGGGGAUAACUACUGGAAACGGUAGCUAAUACCGCAUAACGUCGCAAGACCAANAGGGGGACCUUCGGGCCNCUUGCCAUCGGAUGUGCCCAGAUGGGAUUAGCUAGUAGGUGGGGUAACGGCUCACCUAGGCGACGAUCCCUAGCUGGUCUGAGAGGAUGACCAGCCACACUGGAACUGAGACACGGUCCAGACUCCUACGGGAGGCAGCAUG
rnacentral:rRNA from 1 species